rnacentral:rRNA from 1 species
GCCCGCCGGAGUGCCGAAACUAAACUCUUGAUAUUUUAUGUCUCUCUGAGUAAACUUUUAAAUAAGUCAAAACUUUCAACAACGGAUCUCUUGGUUCUGGCAUCGAUGAAGAACGCAGCGAAAUGCGAUAAGUAAUGUGAAUUGCAGAAUUCAGUGAAUCAUCGAAUCUUUGAACGCACAUUGCGCUCGCCAGUAUUCUGGCGAGCAUGCCUGUUCGAGCGUCAUUUCAACCAUCAAGCUCUGCUUGCGUUGGGGAUCCGCGGCUGCCCGCGGUCCCUCAAAAUCAGUGGCGGGCUCGCUAGUCACACCGAGCGUAGUAACUCUACAUCGCUAUGGUCGUGCGGCGGGUUCUUGCCGUAAAACCCCCCAUUUCUAAGGUUGACCUCGGAUCAGG